AGGAAUAUUGGGCAAUGCCCGCAAGGGUGACCCAGCAACGCCGCGUGGAGGAUGAAUGUCGUAAGAUUGCAAACUCCUGUUAGAGGGGAAGAAUAGUACCGGUUGGACCGGUAUAUGACUGUACCCUCAGAGAAAGCCCCGGCUAACUACGUGCCAGCAGCCGCGGUAAGAAGUAGGGGGCAAGCGUUGUCCGGAUUUACGGGGUGUAAAGGGUGCGCAGGCGGAUGGGUAAGUCAGGGGUGAAAGUCUGCAGCUUAACUGUAGAAUUGCCUUUGAUACUGCUCAUCUUGAGUGUGGGAGAGGUUGAUGGAAUUCCAGGUGUAGCAGUGAAAUACGUAGAUAUCUGGAAGAACACCAGUUGCGAAGGCGGUCUCUUGGUCCGACACUGACGCUGAGGCGCGAAAGCGUGGGGAGCAAACA
rnacentral:rRNA from 1 species